CCAAAGGUGUGAUCAGGAUGG
rnacentral:siRNA from 1 species